rnacentral:rRNA from 1 species
GAGUUUGGAUCGAUGGCUCAGAUUGAACGCUGGCGGCAUGCUUUACACAUGCAAGUCGAGCGGCAGCGCGGGGGCAACCCUGGCGGCGAGCGGCGAACGGGUGAGUAAUGUCAUCGGAACGUAUCCUGGAGUGGGGGAUAACCCAGCGAAAGUUGGGCUAAUACCGCAUGAGCUCUGAAGGAGGAAAGCGGGGGACCUGCAAGGGCCUCGCGCUGCAGGAGCGGCCGGAUGUCCGAUUAGCUAGUUGGUGGGGUAAAAGGACUUACCAAGGCGUACGAUCGGUAGCUGGUCUGAGAGGAUGAUCAGCCACACUGGGACUGAGACACGGCCCAGACUCCUACGGGAGGCAGCAGUGGGGAAUUUUGGACAAUGGGGGCAACCCUGAUCCAGCCAUUCCGCGUGAGUGAAG